GCGGUAUCCGCGCUUAAUAAAUUAACACGAGACCCAUGGUCGGCCUCUCAGUCGGCAGGAAGAUGUGUUACAGAAGGAAUGAAUUUCUGUAUGUGGGUUCAGAUAGACAGGCUGCAGUGGACACUUCUGCGGCACCGCCAUGUUGUUACUACGAAACAGACACCACAGGCAGUGACUUUAUUUGACAUGCUGGCACCCAGUAUUGAACAAACAUGAUGGCCCAGUGUUGGCAAUGGAAUAGAACUACACACUGCUUGCAUUUAGACAUAAAGUGAUUCUGACAGGCGGUUUUGGAUGACUUGGGGAUGCAACUGCUAUCUUGGCUACAUCAACCAGUUUCGGCAAAUCUCAUGUCAGUAAUGUGGAGUUCUGUCUGCAUACCUCAACCUCACAGGGGCUUUAGAUUUCAAGAGGAGGGUUUUUUCUCUCUAAUCCCUCAUUUGAAGGUUUAAAACCAGAUCUAUCAAAAUGUUUGCCUUUUAAUGUCAGUUAAUCUAAGCAGCAGCAUCAAUAGGUAAUAUUGAACACACAUUUUACACUGGAGUACAGUUCAAUUCAAUUUUAUUUAUAUAGCGCCAAAUCACAACAAAAGUCGCCUCAAGGCGCUUUAUAUUGUACAAUAGAUCGCACAGCAAGUGUACAUUUUGAGUUGGAUGAUUCUGAGGUUGUCUUGCAACUGAGCUCAAUGAUUAAGAAAUGCAAGUUUCCCAUGUGGUGUUUUGAAGAAAAAAAAGAUGGCUCUAAAUUCUGGUUUGGAAAAAUGAAGCAAAUGCUGAAAUCCCUUAAACCAACAUUCUGUCUGAAAGCCACCAAAUGUCAAUUGCUAUGUUUGCAGAUUAUGAGAAAUGGCUUUCUAGUAAACACUUUACUGCUAAGUUUAUGGCAUCACUCAUUUAGGGUCAUAACAAAAUGGCAAGAUGAUGUGGUGCUGAAGUCUGAUUGUACCAUUGUAUAAUCAGACAAGCAUUAAUGUACAAGAGGCUAAAUAACAGACAAAUGCAUGAAUUGUUCCUCUCAUUCUGGCUUAACAUUUGUCAUCUGUUUUAUUGGCCUAGAUGUAAUGUUGUACCACUGUCGUUUUAUUUGGGUAAUAUUCCAAACUCCAGAUGGUGAUGGAAUCAUCUUUAUUUGAGAAAUGUACUUAAACCUUUUUGUCCCUACUUUGAGUUUUCAAGCUACCUCUUUAAAAGGUGAAUAAACUGAACAAGAAAUGUGUCAUUGCUUUUAUAAAUGCCUAAAUGGAACAAGA